UCAAGUCAUCACAUUUGAAAUUCCCGAAUUUUAAUACAAUUUUAUUUUCACGACAAUAUCUUCUAUCAAGAUCCCCUUUUGUCUCAGAUUGUAGGGUUUAUCAUUCAUUCCAUGGCCGCAGAGAAGCUCAGGGAUUUGACUCCACCUAUUGAUUUGCCUUUACUUGGCGCAAUUGUGGCUGCCUUCUAUGAUCCCGGAUCCAUGGAACAGCGAAUUACCUGAUUCUAGGGGAUAAUAGCGGCAGAUUCUGUUUUGCGUUCACUGGGACUUUCUAUUAUUGGGAACAUUCAAAAGGGUUUCAGGUCGUGUUUGAUUUGGCAAGUUCUCGGAUAGGGUUUGCCUCCAAUAGGGUGAUCGUGAUGUUAAUGCAGGGACGAAAACUAGGAGAAGUAGUGACAAACAUGGCUAUUGUAGUAGAACGAAGAAAGUGGGUGGUAAUCACUAGCUUUUGCUUCUUUUUUUCCUUCUGCUUCCUGCCGCAACUUGUUCACUAGGGAUCCAGAAAAAAUAUUGAAAUACAAUUUUUUAUUGUUUUUUGUCUUGUAAGGCAUGAAAGUAUGGGUGUGGAAAAGAUGG